ACCAGACUCCUACGGGAGGCAGCAGUGGGGGAUAUUGCACAAUGGGGGGAACCCUGACGCAGCGACGCCGCGUGGGUGAAGAAGCGCCUCGGCGCGUAAAGCCCUGUCAGCAGGGAAGAAAAUGACGGUACCUGAAGAAGAAGCCCCGGCUAACUACGUGCCAGCAGCCGCGGUAAUACGUAGGGGGCAAGCGUUAUCCGGAUUUACUGGGUGUAAAGGGGGCGCAGACGGCGAUGCAAGCCAGGAGUGAAAGCCCGGGGCCCAACCCCGGGACUGCUCUUGGAACUGCGUGGCUGGAGUGCAGGAGGGGCAGGCGGAAUUCCUGGUGUAGCGGUGAAAUGCGUAGAUAUCAGGAGGAACACCGGUGGCGAAGGCGGCCUGCUGGACUGCAACUGACGUUGAGGCCCGAAAGCGUGGGGAGCAAACAGGAUUAGAUACCCGCGUA
rnacentral:rRNA from 1 species